CAUGCCUCUGACUUUUAUCCCUUUGUUCAGGUGUCAAGUAGUUGGCCAUUGGCGGAAGUUAGGUCCAGGGGGAGACUCCGGUGUCCAGGAACUCUGCCCAGGAAAGACGUCAAUCAUAAGUUCCAGGUGCUCAGGCAAGUAGUAACAUACAAAGCACACGAUGGAAGAGAUGGCGUUCCCAGAGAUGUGAAUCACAUGGGUGCGGCAUCAAGAAUGCUGCAAAGCAGAAUCUGAACUGGAAGACACAUCCACACCUAAUCAUGUGGUACCAGGAAAUUACCGAAACUCUUUCUACAGUCUUCGGUGCAUGCUUGGAGAAGAGGCUAAGAUGAGAGGCUUCAAUCUGGAGAUGACAAGGAUAGCCACCUGGUGAAACUAAAGAUUUCUGGAUAAGUGUUUCAACUGAUGGAUUCGGAUGAAACUUUCAAAAUGUCAACUGACACUGCCAUUGAUGUAACGAUAUCAUCAAGUUUUACUCAACUACAAGAUGAGAUGCAUACAAAUAACUAUUAUUUUUUGUAUGUGUGAUGCACAUGAUAACUUAAAGGGUGUAUUUUUAUAUAUGUUUAUUUUUGAAGAA